ACGUCAAUGAAACAAUGUUGGUUACGAUAAUAUAAAGCUGUAUGUAACUUCUCACCAGUUUUCUCCGAGCCAGUCGACUGAGACUGCUCAAUCGCCAGCAGUUGCUCCUCGGUAAAACGCAUCACAGCGUUCCCGUCCAGAAACACUUGAAUAACGUACUCUGAUAUUGAACUGGACCAAUCACCGAAUACUCCUAUCCCUGGAAGAGUGAAAAUUAAUAUCGAUUAGGUCUCGGGAAUUCCAUGGGUAUGUGGACGACGUCUGUGCCGCACGUCGCUGAGCUGAAAUUGUUUUUGUCAACUUCAUAACUCGGCCUGAAAACACAUAUACAAAAUCUAAAUUUUUCUGACUCAAGAACUACUCAGAACUUAUUCAAAUUCAAAAGGGAACCACAUGACAAGCAUCAGCUAUUUAAUAAAAAUCAUCUAAAUCAGUAUAACCAGUAAAAAUUUAUGUAUAUUAUAACUGUAUUUGAACCCCCCCGCCCCUUUAUUUUGCUGUUAUUUAUAACACAAGAAUUAAAUUUGUGUGUAUCAAA